CAACUGCCAGCACCAGCAAGAGGACAAUUUAAUGCUCUUGUUUUGGACAGCAGGAGAAUCAAAUGAUGACUGUUGCAUUGAUGGUACCAAGUUUGAGCCAUGAUCACUAUCAUUCCCUGUCAUCUUGCAGGGGUUUUAGGCUUAGCCUUAAUAAUAAUUUAAAAACAAAUAAUUCAGAAGUUCAUAAAGCCAACAAAACCAGAUGCUUUUUGAAAAACAACCAGCAGAAUGCAGUUCAAAACUUUUCCUGGAAUGGACAGCAGCAACAGCCAGGGCUGUAAAAUCUAUGUGAAUAUUUUAGGGACUUGAUGGCAAUGUUUUGAAUUAAAAUGUACCAUUUAUAUCCAAAUUUAUGGCCCAUGGACAAUAAUCAGCCUGUUAUGGGUCCUAACUGGUCACUUGAAUCUCCUCCUUACUGUGCAGAGUGAAGUUGUAGAGACUAAUAUAUACCUUGAGCACCACAAUGAUUUAUUAAGGCCUGUGACAUGCAUGUUAGGACUUAUAUUGCUGCCAGACUGACAAAGCUGGGUGUCACUUGAAAACGAAAGUGUGGCAGCCAUCAUUAUGAUUAUUUAGAUCUGAGAAUGGUUAAAAAGUAUGUGGGUGCAUUCAUCCUUUACUUCCUGUUUGUUCACAACACCAUACAAGGUAACACUUCCUGACACCCCAAGCGCAUGGUAAGGAUCUGUUUACAUGAUUUACAGUUAGCGCUGACGUCUGGAAUGUGUGUUGGAGCCAUAAUGUGUAUAUUGACUAGGACAGACAUUCUAAUUCAUGAACAUUUUCAAAUUCUCAAAUUAUUAUUUAAAGAUUCAGUUUUGGUUGAAGUUAACAACAAAAUGGAAACCGUAGUGAACACUACCUUGGUUAAUGUGGCCUUUGGUGCAAGGUGUACAAAAGUAAUAGGAGGCUUCAACAUAGAAAACAACAGUAUAAAAAUUUCACUUAAUUUUGACCUAGAAAGAGAGAGUGCUCUAGAUUCAUUGCGUUGUGAAAUACAAAAAUCUUCCCAUGGACUUCUGGUGAACGUGGAUACAGAUAUGACUU